UGACCUAUUGUUAUUUCUAUAACUCACGGUUACGGUAAUAUUAGUAUAUUCAGAAACACGCGACGUCGAGCACGCUCCCUGUUUUUGUCGCACACGCACAUUGUCGUAAAAUGUGUCACCAACCUCUCGCAUAUCUCCAUUAUUUUCCACAUCACAGGCGAAAAUUUCAUUUUAAAAAAGGCUUGUAAGGGAAGGAAGAGGAAAAGAAACGUAACAAUGAGGAUAUAUAUAAAUUGCACAGUUCUGCAAGUAGAGAAAGAAAGCGUUGAGCCUAUAUAUAUUUUGUUUGUUCCCCUUCGUUUCUUAAUAAAUUUACAAAAUAUUUCUCAAAUAUUGAAACGUGAUCGAUCAAUUAUCUGCCUAUAAACGCGUAUUUUGUUCAAUCUGUCAACGUUUAAAAAGGGGAUCAAAAACUUUAAUGUAUAAGAGUUUUAACAUGUUAUAUUAUACGUUAUUACACGGAACAAUUAUUUUUUAUAAAUUUAAAAAUGAAUCUCUCCAUUUAAUAUAUAUAAUAUAAUAUAUUAGCAUCAUAGAACAAAA